rnacentral:rRNA from 1 species
GACGAACGCUGGCGGCGUGCUUAACACAUGCAAGUCGAACGAAGAGCGACGGAAGCUUGCUUCUAUCAAUCUUAGUGGCGAACGGGUGAGUAACGCGUAAUCAACCUGCCCUUCAGAGGGGGACAACAGUUGGAAACGACUGCUAAUACCGCAUACGAUCUAACCUCGGCAUCGAGGAUAGAUGAAAGGUGGCCUCUACAUGUAAGCUAUCACUGAAGGAGGGGAUUGCGUCUGAUUAGCUAGUUGGAGGGGUAACGGCCCACCAAGGCGAUGAUCAGUAGCCGGUCUGAGAGGAUGAACGGCCACAUUGGGGCUGAGACACGGCCCAGACUCCUACGGGAGGCAGCAGUGGGGAAUCUUCCGCAAUGGACGAAAGUCUGACGGAGCAACGCCGCGUGAGUGAUGACGGCCUUCGGGUUGUAAAGCUCUGUUAAUCGGGACGAAAGGCCUUCUUGCGAAUAGUGAGAAGGAUUGGCGGUACCGGAAUAGAAAGCCACGGCUAACUACGUG